UCUCCAAAUUUCCUUUGCUCCUCCUGCCUCUUCAAGCAAGAGCAACAGAUGUCUCCUGUCUGUUUAUUUGUGGAAGGCAGAAAGCAUUGGAGCAGAAAUGGUCAAAACUUUGUUCUGUCCUGCUUAUGAGUGAGAUAGUGUAGAAAAACAAACUAAGGACUCUGCUGUUGAAUGUUGAACACAUAAAAAGGGGGCAGAGUUAACUGGCCUGAUGUCACUGCAAGGGACCUUUACAUCUGAGAAUGUUAAGAUUAAUAUUUCUUCGAGCAUGAAAGUUUUGCACAUUUUGAGGAAGAAAAAGGUAACAAAAGAGUCCAAGACUAAUUACAAACAAGCACUUGAGCGAGGAGAACUUACUUUCCUGAUUCUCUUCAGUCAGGCCUCAUCACAGAGUUGCAUAAAGUCCAUUAAAUGAAGUUCCUUGGGAAAAAUGAAGAUAUGGAGGAAGACAAGUACUUAGUAAGGGGAGUGUUUAGAGCAUGAUCAUUCCAAAUUUCAAGAGGAAGAAAGAGAAUUACUGCCAGUGAUUGCCAUCUUACUGCCUCUGCAAACCUGGGGGCAUCAUCACUAUCACAGACUGAUAUUGCACAGCUAUAUGAUUAACUGGAAUCUUAUUUUGAAAUAGAGAAGUGCAAGGUUUCAAACUUGCGGGUAUAAUUCUUUUUACACCAGCUACUCAUCUGGACUGGAGAAAACAGCACUUGGGAGUCAGAGAGGAAAAGUGUUCAGUGAAGAAAUUCAGUGAUGAGGGAAGAGUUUCACUGGUGUUGGAAGGCAAACACAGAAAAGUAAACACAGCCCAAUGGAUUACAACAGAUGAAUGGUCACCACUAAGUAACAACAUUAAAUCCUGCCUUUCAAGAGUCAAAAGGACUGGAAUCUGCUUCUAAGAUAUUUAGUAAUCUACUGGAAAAGUUUACCACCAGUUCUAGCUUUUAUCCCAAGUUUUCUGUUGUUCUGACGAUGUUUGAUGAGGAAAUUACCUGCUACAAUGAGAUGUUUGAAAAUCAA